rnacentral:tRNA from 1 species
GAGGGAAUAGCUCAGUGGUAGAGCACAUGCUUAACAUGCACAAGGUCCUAGGUUCAAUCCCCAGUACCUCCU